rnacentral:misc_RNA from 1 species
GGAUGAAACCAGUGGGGAUUCUGUUCACAUUCUUCUUCCUGGUAACAGUCAAGACAGUUGCAAUCUUUUCUUACAACCUUUGCAAAACAAAUGAGAAAUAUUGUUAGAUCAGAAAAUAGUAGGCAGAAUAUUACAAGAAACCAGCAACCAUCCGGUUGGUGGCAGCUGAGAAUUCCUAGUUCAGAACAAACUCAAUGCAACCGUGGUCCAGCAUGCCA